rnacentral:rRNA from 1 species
GACGAACGCUGGCGGCGUGCCUAACACAUGCAAGUCGAACGGGGUUACGAGAGCUUGCUCUUGUAACUUAGUGGCGAACGGGUGAGUAACGCGUGAGAAACCUGCCUCUCAGUGGGGGACAACAGUUGGAAACGACUGCUAAUACCGCAUAACACUUUAGUACCGCAUGGUACAGAAGUCAAAGCUUUAUGUGCUGAGAGAUGGUCUCGCGUCUGAUUAGCUAGUUGGUAAGGUAACGGCUUACCAAGGCGACGAUCAGUAGCCGGCCUGAGAGGGCGAUCGGCCACAUUGGGACUGAGACACGGCCCAAACUCCUACGGGAGGCAGCAGUGGGGAAUAUUGCACAAUGGGGGGAAACCCCGUGAUGCAGCAACGCCGCGUGAAGGAUGACGUAUUUCGGUAUGUAAACUUCUAUCAGCAAGGAAGAUGAUGACGGUACUUGACUAAGAAGCCCCGGGCUAAACUACGUG